UUCAGCAAGAAGGCCUGAAGGAGAACUCACACGUAGAUCACUGACACGCACGUCAUGGGAUUUAUCAUCCUCUAGAGACCGUGAACGCCGUGGAUGGCACCCUUUGACUUACAAAUAUUCAGAUGCUACUCCCAUGCUUAUUGAAUCUAUAAAGGAGAUAGAUAAUGUCUACUACGAGACUGAAUACCGGAGAGAAUGGUGUAGCAGCAAGGGAAAACCAUCUCGGUGCUUUCUUUUUGCUCGAAAAUUUACCCGGCCUGCUGCUCUCAGGCUUCUUAACACGACUGUACUGGAACUCAACCGGAGCAACGAUUAAAGUCUUACCGCGGUGAAGUUUAUUUUCCGGUAAACCAGCUAGUGUUUGAUCCAUAUUAGGAAAUAGUAAUUAGAUUUGCAAUGAGAGGAAUAAACAAAAGAGGAGGUUGUGUAUAUUUUAUGGGGGUAAAGGUGUUUACUGUGGUAUGUAUUCAUUUUAGAGCAAAAGAAAAAUAAGAAUCGGU